AACGAACGCUGGCGGCAGGCCUAACACAUGCAAGUCGAACGCUGUAGCAAUACAGAGUGGCAGACGGGUGAGUAACGCGUGGGACCCUUCCCAAUGGUACGGAAUAGCUCAGGGAAACUUGAGGUAAUACCGUAUAAGCUCCUAGGGGGACAGAUUUAUCGCCAUGGGAUGGGCCCGGGUCGGAUUAGCCAGUUGGUGAGGUAACGGCUCACCAAGGCGACGAUCCGUAGCUGGUUUGAGGGAAUGACCAGCCACACUGGGACUGAGACACGGCCCAGACUCCUACGGGAGGCAGCAGUGGGGAAUCUUGGACAAUGGGCGAAAGCCUGAUCCAGCCAUGCCGCGUGAGUGACGAAGGCCUUAGGGUUGUAAAGCUCUUUUGCCGGGGACGAUAAUGACGGUACCCGGAGAAUAAGUCCCGGCUAACUUCGUGCCAGCCGCCGCGGUAA
rnacentral:rRNA from 1 species